UGGCAUGAUCCCUUAGUCCUGGGCU
rnacentral:piRNA from 1 species